ACCGGCGCACGGGUGAGUAACACGUAUGGAACCUGCCCGCAGCAGGGGGAUAAGCGGAAGAAAUUCCGUCUAAUACCGCGUAACAACGUUGGGGGGCAUCUCCCGAUGUUUAAAGAUUUAUCGGCUGCGGAUGGCCAUGCGGCGCAUUAGCUAGUCGGCGGGGUAACGGCCCACCGAGGCGACGAUGCGUAGGGGUUCUGAGAGGAAGGUCCCCCACACUGGUACUGAGACACGGACCAGACUCCUACGGGAGGCAGCAGUGAGGAAUAUUGGUCAAUGGCCGAGAGGCUGAACCAGCCAAGUCGCGUGAGGGAUGACGGCCCUACGGGUUGUAAACCUCUUUUGUCGGGGAGCAAAGGGAGUCACGUGUGACUCAUUGAGAGUACCCGAAGAAAAAGCAUCGGCUAACUCCGUGCCAGCAGCCGCGGUAAUACGGAGGAUGCGAGCGUUAUCCGGAUUUAUUGGGUUUAAAGGGUGCGCAGGCGGAGGUGCAAGUCAGCGGUCAAAUUGCGGGGCUCAACCCCGUACUGCCGUUGAAACUGCAUCCCUUGAGUGCGCGAGAAGUAUGCGGAAUGCGUGGUGUGGCGGUGAAAUGCAUAGAUAUCACGCAAAACUCCGAUUGCGAAGGCAGCAUACCGGCNCCCGACUGACNCUNANGCACGAAAGCGUGGGGAUCGAACAAAAUUANAUACCCUGGUA
rnacentral:rRNA from 1 species